ensembl:lncRNA
AUGAAUUAUAAGGUACUACCGGUAUUUCAUAUGUCUCACUAUACUUAUUACAUAAACAAUCUAUUAAUACUACCCUCUUCUUUUAGGCAAAUCACAUUAGUGUGCGUAGAGGGGACGGAGCUACCACCAAUACAGAAAUGCACAGAGUGCUGCAGCCGGUAUCACUGCCCACUGUGCAAUUCAAACAUUUUUAAACCCACAGACCGAUACCGUGUAAUCAUUCAUUUAAAGGCUCAUCUUGCGACAUCUGUAAAAUACAAAGAUGCCAAAAAGUGUUUUGGAGAAGGUUUGUCUAGAGGUGAUCCUCUCAGACGGAGAUGCCGCCUACCUUACCCUGUCAUUAACAUGUACAGCCUUGAGGGAUGUGGUGUGGUGAAUGUCAAAAAACUGCCCCAGGCUGUAAGAGACAUGUGUGUCCCUUUUAAAAUUGUACAAUGCAGAAAUUGCAGAUGUUUUUUCAAAGACUGGGUGGGGUACUGUAGAAACGGAAGACAUGGAGACCUGCGAGGGUUUUAUACAGACCCUGAAUUUCCUGAGCAUUGCCCAGACUGCCAGUUUUAGGGGGCAGGAAUGAGGUGUGGUGUGCACAGUGUGCAAUAGUUUAUUUGGAACUGUUCAUAUUUUAUUUUCUCUUGAAAUAGGGACUUCCCCCACAACCUUACGGGCCUGACUGUGGCAUCUUCAUUCUGAUGGUCAGAUUUGACAAAUUUUACUAAUUAGAUUGUGUCAUUUCCAAUAAAUAUCGCAAAACCAUGAAGUGUUAAUUUGAU